rnacentral:rRNA from 1 species
GAUGAACGCUGGCGGCGUGCCUAAUACAUGCAAGUCGAGCGAACAGAUGAGGAGCUUGCUCCUCUGACGUUAGCGGCGGACGGGUGAGUAACACGUGGAUAACCUACCUAUAAGACUGGGAUAACUUCGGGAAAACGGAGCUAAUACCGGAUAAUAUAUUGAACCGCAUGGUUCAAUAGUGAAAGACGGUUUUGCUGUCACUUAUAGAUGGAUCCGCGCCGCAUUAGCUAGUUGGUAAGGUAACGGCUUACCAAGGCGACGAUGCGUAGCCGACCUGAGAGGGUGAUCGGCCACACUGGAACUGAGACACGGUCCAGACUCCUACGGGAGGCAGCAGUAGGGAAUCUUCCGCAAUGGGCGAAAGCCUGACGGAGCAACGCCGCGUGAGUGAUGAAGGUCUUCGGAUCGUAAAACUCUGUUAUUAGGGAAGAACAAAUGUGUAAGUAACUAUGCACGUCUUGACGGUACCUAAUCAGAAAGCCACGGCUAACUACGUG